GGCCUGGGGUUGGGGCCUCAGAGGCUGUGUCCGUCCAUGUGGGGUGCAGUACCCACACCUUUAUCAGAGGGGCUGCCCUGAUCACAGAGCCGGGUUUGAUGAGAGAGAAGAAAGGGAGUAGAGUGAAUUCUAGAACAGGGGUAAUGGCUCCAAGGGAAACGAGCGCUCAGGGUCCAGGCCUGCUGAGGAGGACUCCAUCCCUGUCCUUGAGGGAGGGUGGUUCGGGGCCAUUCGGUGGGUGUUCCGGAGUGUCUGACUGCUCACGCCUGCACUUCUGGGCAGCGCUCUGUGCAGGGACCCAUGUCAGAGUGGAGGCCUGACUUCCUGUGCAGGCCCCCAGGGUGGGGCCACAACGUCCCUGUGAGAAAGCCACCCUCCCAGGGAGGAAGGACCGAGCAGGCGGCCCGCUUGAGGCUGGCUGGACAGCCAACGGGCCACAUCAUUGUGUGAGGGACAGAGGGGAAGCUCCGCCUGGUCCCCCCAGAGGCCACGGAAGCAGCCGCGUGAGCCGAGAGGGGAACGCAAUGCUACCUGCCCUGCUGGGGUCCCGGAGCCCAGAGCAGGUGGGACCCAGGGAGGCUGAGGGAACCAGAACGGCCCCCACUCGCUGCGGACCCCACCUGGGCCACCCAGAAAGGUGUCCCUGGGCUGCAGUGGGCUCCAGGAGGACAGGACCUGGACGGCUGGGGUCAGUAACCCUUUGGGAGCAUCGCUUCAGCUCUGUGGGGCUCCGAGCAAGACUCUGGGUGGGAUGUAACAGAGGAAUUGUCGUCACGACCGAGUUCUCCCUGCCCGACAACGGAGAAGUGAGACAAGAUCAGUUCUAGACGAAGCAAGGAGUGCGAUGGCCCGUCUUUCCAUCUCGAAUCACUGUCGCUUCGGGCGUCCCGGGCUGACACAGCGCAGCUACGAUACUCAGGCAUCCCCGUUCUGACAGAAAUCACAGCACACGUAGGACAGGCAGGAGUCUCUGUUUAUUAAACGUGUAUUUUCGGGGAGUAACUUAAAUGGAGUGACGUGUUUCUGGAGAGAGACCCUCUCGGGCCAUACGUGCUGGAAUGCGGCUCCGUCCAAGGCUCUGUGCGUUACCCUGGUGACGCGUGCACGGCAGCGCUUCCCGGGACGGCUUGCGGGACCAGCUUGCUGAGGAGGGCCUCCGCUGACUUAACAGGCUUGCUCUCACUGACCCCACAUGACCCAGCCCCCCAGCCCCCCCAGCGGGCGUCCCACAGCCUCGACCGAAGACCACAGGCAAACUUCAGACACCGGGGUGGGUGGUUUGCCUGGACUGCACCGUGAGGAGAUGGCGCUUUUGGCCGCCGUGGCACAUUGAGUCCAGCAGGGACAUGGGUUUGCUCUGUCCCACCUGGACCUGUGCCCGUCUGGGUAGAAGGUGGGGAUGCAGAGAACUCAUGGCCCCCACAGCUGCUGCAGGCCCACAUACCUGCUCACCUAAGCAAUGUCGGAAGCCGGCUGGGGAAACGGGGCAGGGUGGGAGCACUUGCUGGCUUUCUAGAGUCCCCUAGCAGAAGACCAAUACCCCGAGCAGGAAAAGCGACGAGCCACUAACAUAUCCAAGGGGUUUGUUGACCAGGAGUUGGGGAAAGGGAAGGAGAGAGAUUCUGAGAGGCGCCAGGAGGAGAGGGACUUUGGAGAGAAUGACCAAUCUCACCUGCUCCACAUUUUGCUCAGCAGGGGCCCUGGUGAGCAGAGUGUGGGACGUUGAGGGCGCGGGGAGAAUGGGUCGAGGACUAGGGAGGGCCCCACGGACACUUCCCAGUGCCAGGAGAUGGCAGGACUGUCUCCAGCACACCUCUGGGCUAUAGC
rnacentral:lncRNA from 1 species